GAUGAACGCUGGCGGCGUGCCUUAUACAUGCAAGUCGAGCGGGUUUAGACUCACGGCAAACGGGUGAGUAACACGUAGGUACUUUCCUUGUCACAGGAAUAACCCUCUGAAAGGAGGGCUAAUACCUGAUGUGAUAGCAUGAUCAAAUGGUAUCCGCAAGGAUUACCGGACAAGAGGAGGCCUGCGGCCUAUCAGCUAGUUGGCGGGCUAAAUGCCCACCAAGGCUAUGACGGGGAGCUGGCCUUAUGAGGAUGAUCAGUCACAUGGGCACUGAGACACGGGCCCAACUCCUUCGGGAGGGAGCGGUAGGGAAUUUUACGCAAUGGGCGAAAGCCUGACGCACCUUCGCCUCGUGCGGGAUGAAGGCCUUGGGGUAGUAAACCGCUUUUAUAAGGGACGAACUUUGACGGUACCUUAUGAAUAAGCAGUUGCUAACUCUGUG
rnacentral:rRNA from 1 species